UUUUUUGAUGACUACAUUCCAAAUUGCAACACAAAAUAACUUAAGGAAAUAAUAAGCCUUGUGUCCAAGUCCAACAAAAGAUUAUUGAACUAUUGAACUUCAGCCUGAUACAAAUUUUCCACUCAUUCCAUGGCAAGUCUCAUUUCAUUCAUAAUUGUAGCCAAACUGAGAAUCAAUUCCUAUACACAUCAAUAGUAUUUUGAACUAUUUAAUAGGUAUUAUAAAUACCACCUUUUAGAGUAACGGAACAAUUUCAACAAAAAAUAAUAAUAAUAAUUGAUACAGUACCCUCAAAUAACCCUAAUACUUGGACUGGUUAAUUGGGCAAGCGGUUGAUAUGAUCCGAACCAUCUUGUAGCUCGCCCUUUGGCAUAAGUCUCGAAGAGGCAAUGUGAUUCGAGUAACAAAUCAUAAUGCUUGGACAUUGUAAUACUCGCCCAACCAGGUGAGAAACCUAACCCAAUAUGAACACUAUCUAAAGGAUCUUGUCACAUCUAGGAUUCCAAGUCCCAUUCUAGUUGGACUUCCUCCAAAAUAAGAAUCUUCUAUAAGCAUACUCCUAACCUAAAUAGGUGUCCACCCAAUGCCUACAAAAGGGGACCAGCAAGUACGCUUCUAGACCUAAUCUCCACUCUCUCAACUCUCAUUCUUAGAUCCCUUUAUUCCCUUUACUGACUUAAGCAUCAAAGUGGUUGCCAAGGCCUCUG
rnacentral:misc_RNA from 1 species